rnacentral:rRNA from 1 species
UACGAAGGGGGCUAGCGUUGCUCGGAAUCACUGGGCGUAAAGCGCACGUAGGCGGCUUGUUAAGUCAGGGGUGAAAUCCCAAGGCUCAACCUUGGAACUGCCUUUGAUACUGGGGAUCUCGAGUCCGGAAGAGGUUGGUGGAACUGCGAGUGUAGAGGUGAAAUUCGUAGAUAUUCGCAAGAACACCAGUGGCGAAGGCGGCCAACUGGUCCGGUACUGACGCUGAGGUGCGAAAGCGUGGGGAGCAAACAGG